rnacentral:rRNA from 1 species
UACGGAGGAUCCGAGCGUUAUCCGGAUUUAUUGGGUUUAAAGGGUGCGUAGGCGGCCUGUUAAGUCAGGGGUGAAAGACGGUAGCUCAACUAUCGCAGUGCCCUUGAUACUGAUGGGCUAGAAUGCACUAGAGGCAGGCGGAAUGUGACAAGUAGCGGUGAAAUGCAUAGAUAUGUCACAGAACACCAAUUGCGAAGGCAGCUUGCUAUGGUAUAAUUGACGCUGAGGCACGAAAGCGUGGGGAUCAAACAGG